AAAGAAAGAAAGAAAUCUUGCACUCAGUUCAAAAAAUAUAUGAACUUACAUUAUUCUCAAAAAACUUUGACUCGCACAUCUUAUGUAGUACUUGAAGCUUGAACUUACCAUAAGACUUCAAAUUUCUAAACUCAACGCUAUUCUAGUAAUUCCUCAUUCUAAAUUUGAUGCCCCUGUUCUUCUAUGCAUACCAUCAUCUCUUACUACUCAUUCCUGGUUUCUAAUUCUAGUGUUAUUCUCCAUGCAUA
rnacentral:misc_RNA from 1 species